GUAAGGUAACGGCUUACCAAGGCAACGAUGCAUAGCCGACCUGAGAGGGUGAUCGGCCACACUGGAACUGAGACACGGUCCAGACUCCUACGGGAGGCAGCAGUAGGGAAUCUUCCGCAAUGGGCGAAAGCCUGACGGAGCAACGCCGCGUGAGUGAUGAAGGUCUUCGGAUCGUAAAACUCUGUUAUUAGGGAAGAACAUAUGUGUAAGUAACUGUGCACAUCUUGACGGUACCUAAUCAGAAAGCCACGGCUAACUACGUGCCAGCAGCCGCGGUAAUACGUAGGUGGCAAGCGUUAUCCGGAAUUAUUGGGCGUAAAGCGCGCGUAGGCGGUUUUUUAAGUCUGAUGUGAAAGCCCACGGCUCAACCGUGGAGGGUCAUUGGAAACUGGAAAACUUGAGUGCAGAAGAGGAAAGUGGAAUUCCAUGUGUAGCGGUGAAAUGCGCAGAGAUAUGGAGGAACACCAGUGGCGAAGGCGACUUUCUGGUCUGUAACUGACGCUGAUGUGCGAAAGCGUGGGGAUCAAACAGGAUUAGAUACCCUGGUAGUCCACGCCGUAAACGAUGAGUGCUAAGUGUUAGGG
rnacentral:rRNA from 1 species